UACGAAGGGGGCUAGCGUUGCUCGGAAUCACUGGGCGUAAAGGGUGCGUAGGCGGGUUUUUAAGUCAGAGGUGAAAUCCUGGAGCUCAACUCCAGAACUGCCUUUGAUACUGAAGAUCUUGAGUUCGGGAGAGGUGAGUGGAACUGCGAGUGUAGAGGUGAAAUUCGUAGAUAUUCGCAAGAACACCAGUGGCGAAGGCGGCUCACUGGCCCGAUACUGACGCUGAGGCACGAAAGCGUGGGGAGCAAACAGG
rnacentral:rRNA from 1 species